rnacentral:misc_RNA from 1 species
AAGUCGUAACAAGGUUUCCGUAGGUGAACCUGCGGAAGGAUCAUUAUUGAAUAAACUUGAUCAGGUUGUUGCUGGCUCCCCUGAGCAUGUGCACACUUGUCAUCUUUACUUUUCCCCCAAUGUGCACAUAUUGUAGGCCUGGAACUCUUUUGAUUAUCUCGUAUAGAUUGAGGACUGCUGUGCUUCAGCCAGCUUUUCCUUGUGUUUUCAGGUCUAUGUUUACCUUCACAACCUCUGAAUAUGUUUAGAAUGUUGGAAUAUAAUAUAUAUAUACAACUUUCAGCAACGGAUCUCUUGGCUCUC